AUGCUGUUACAAUAUUUAGUGCAGACCGGGAAGCUUCAACAAUCGCGACCAGGAUAUGUGAAACCAUAUACUUUGCUUCAAAUUAUCAGGAGAUUCCACAAAAUUCAAAUGGGCUCAUUGAGUAUAGAACACAUCCUUUUUGGCGGAAGUUGUGAGAGAAUAGAGGUCAGUUACAUUAUGUCACAAGAAACUCCUUUGUAUUGGGAGUAA